ACUGGCAUAUAUAUAUAUAUAUAUAUAUAUAUAUGUGUGUCUGUGUGUGUGUGUGUAUAUAUAUACACACACACAUAUAUACAUGUAUACACACACAUAUAC
rnacentral:miRNA from 1 species